rnacentral:lncRNA from 1 species
UACGGUGGACUGCUAGCGGCGGUGCUCUUCUGGCAGCAGGACUGGAGGCAGUCGGGGAUGGCGGUGUCCUUGAGAUCGACUGAGAUAGGCAGAGUAAGCCUUAGCGUUUGAUUAUAGGGGGUUUUCCGGCGGCUUGGGGGGGGCUUAAGCCCCCACCAGCCCCCCCUUAAAUCCGUGGCUGAUUGCACAACCACAAGGGAAAAGCAGGGAGCUACAGCAUGCCAUCUUAGCAAAAACAAAACCCAACUUCUAGCAUAAUUACCAAAAACUUCAACUACCCAACUCUGGUAAACAAAAUUUCUGGGAUAAGAACAACGCAAAACGCAAGCAAAAAUCAUCUUCAAAGCAGGACUUUCGGUUAGGCAUUUCGUCGAACAGCAAAUAGGCACCAAAAUUUCACCGACUUUUUUUGCUCAAUUAAGGUCAUUUUCAGCCCCAAAAGUUUGCCAGAAACACAGCAAACAGUCCAAUUAACACAUAUAGCAUGCGUAUUAAAAAAUCAUGAACAAACAACCGAAAAUUGCAACCAAACACAGUCACGG